rnacentral:rRNA from 1 species
UACGUGGGGGGCAAGCGUUGUUCGGAAUUACUGGGCGUAAAGGGCUCGUAGGCGGCCAACUAAGUCCGACGUGAAAUCCCCAGGCUUAACCUGGGAACUGCGUCGGAUACUGGAUGGCUUGAAUCCGGGAGAGGGAUGCAGAAUUCCAGGUGUAGCGGUGAAAUGCGUAGAUAUCGGGAGGAACACCAGUGGCGAAGGCGACUACCUGGCCUGUUCUUGACGCUGAGGCGCGAAAGCUAGGGGAGCAAACGGG